CUCGAAAUAACAAAAACGGAAAAUUGCCUAAAUUGCUCUAAAUGCUAAGUUUUCUCUGAAAAAUCGUCCAGUUUCGCUCCUCGCCUAGGACUCCUUAUAUACUAGCUCCAAGGUCAGUUUACGCUUUUACUCUUCUGCCCUUAAGCCGUCAUAGCAUAAAAAUGGAGAUAUUCCAUUUUUCCCGAUCUUCACAAUUAUCUUCAAA
rnacentral:lncRNA from 1 species